CACGAUCGUUUUGCUGGCAGCUAGGGAUGGCCUGGCAACGAGUCUCCCCUCAACCGCGCCGCCUCCCAGUGCCAUCUCUGGAUCCUCGGCUCCCGGCCGCCUCCCAGUGCCACCCCUGAUCCCCGCCGCCAGCCCCACCCCGCCGCUAGAUUUCCUACGCGUCCGCUUGAGGUCCAGGACGCCGCCGCAUCAACUACCUGGAACGGCGGACUUCUUACCACAGGCGACCAUUAUGGAGGCCGGAUCGACGACCGCGGGUGGCUAAUCGAUGCUAACUCCUGCCGGCGCAUCCUUCACACGUUUAUUCCAUGAUCCGUUCCACCCGGGAGAGAUAGAAUCCGUGGAGCAGGUGCCGGCGCGCAGGGGGAACUCGGGCGGGAUUAAUGGAGAUGGAGGAGCGGGGCGGCGCGCGCAGGCCCGGGGACCGGGGUAGGAGGUCACCAUGUGAGGGAGCUGUUCAGGAGGUGCACGGACGACGGUGGCCUGAGGGUAUACAAGACACCUGUCGAGGGGUUGCGGGAUGUGCGAGAUCUCAGCGCCAAUCAGGUUCAAGCGGACAAGACCAAUGCGGCCAGGAGGGGUAUUGGCGAUGCGACCAACAUCAGACUGGAGGAGGCGUCGAGCUGUAGGCUCAAAGAGGAUCUACAUAAAUUAUUUACGCCUCUCACAAAUGAAGAUGAAACUUUAGUAGACACCUCAUUGUAUGGUAGUGGUCACAGUAAAAAAAUAUUAGUACUGCAUGAGCCUUUAAAGAUCGAGAUUACCAGAGAGAAAUUAGGGUGCUUGAGGCCUCGUGGUUGGUUAAACGAUGAGAUCAUCAAUUUGUACCUAGAAUUGUUAAAGGAGAGGGCAAAAAGAGAACCCACAAGAUUUUUAAAAUGCCACUUCUUUAACACAUUCUUCUAUAAGAAGCUAUGAAGGCAACAUGGACCUCCAAAUAGGGAAGCAAGAGAAGCACCACUUAAUAAUCAUUACAUCUGCUCUACUUGGAGUAACACUGUUAGUUGCAGUUUCCCUCUGCUGCUAUGCCUUCGCAUGGAAAACCAUCAAGAAAACUCAUCAGAAGGUCAGAGAAGGAAGCAUCCUCUUAUCUUGUUAUAUUUUCUUACAGUGUCUUUUAUUUUGUGUGCAUGUGGUCAAAGAAGAAACUCCUUCCUUCAUACAAGUUACAGAAGUCAAGCGCGCAAUCGUGCGAAAUUUUAGAAUGUCAUAGCCAUCGUUAUAAGCUUCACUCCUUUGUUUGAAUAAAUCUAUAGGGAAAGGUAAGGAAGAUAGAAGCUAUGGUUGCAGGCACACAUUAAAAAGAUCAUGUAUGUUGUAGAGGUAAGUUUACCUGGACAUUUGCUUUUGGUGAAUGACCAGAUUUUUGUACAUCAACUCAAUAUUCGUUAGAGACAAGAGUGUCUGGUUUGCAAUCUGGAAUUGAUUAGGCUAGGAGCGCUAUUGUGGAACAAAAUAUUCUCUUAGUUAGCUAUUUGCACUUGAGUUUAAUAGUAGUAUACUGCAACCAUAUGUCAAACAACCAAGUUUAUAGAGGGGAGGAUUUGACUAGAACCAUAUAUUGGUUGUCCUUUUUUUUUGUAUCGUUACCAUGUGAGUUUUCCGAAUGAUUUUGAGAGAUAGGUAAGACCAUGUAGUCCACUGUUUUAGACUGUCCAUACUGCUAUGUAUUUGCAGGUUAGUAAAAUGUCAACAAUCAGUAUGUGUUCAGUUAAAAAAAUGUUUGUGUUAGUCUCUCUACUCCCCACCAAGUCUUAAGACCCGAAAUGUGAGUCAAAAUCACUUUUAUAUGAUCAUGCAUAAGCCCAUAGUGUAACUCAAUGAUCAGACUUAACACCACAAUUAAAUCAGAUGGGAAAUUAUCAACAGAGGAGUGCUAAGUCAACAGUGGAUUGUAUAUAUAUUCAUAAAAAACCCACCUUACUCCAUUCAGGUUCAAAUGGCGAGGCACACCAUACUGGUGCAUCUUUUUUUUAAAGGCCCCUCCUGUGGGUAAUUAUCUGUACAUUGUUGCAUGUACCUGUGCAUAAGUAAGUUAAUAAAUGUUUAAAAAGAACUUGUAAGAACAUGACAAGAUUUGCUGUCUGAAACACACCCUGUGUGAGUAAAUAUGCAUGGAGUUUGUUGGCUGAAACCAUCACUGGCGGCGCCAUCGCUAAGGUGCACCGACAACCUGCUGCUUAGACGAGACCAGUCCAGUUUCUUUUCAUGCCGUCAUGUCCAAGUAUGUCCACAAGCGUGAUCUCCAUUGAGUCCUCAGACAGAACCGCCCCUACUAUGUCACAUGCUCGUGUCCACUGUGGUCACCAUGUUCGGAGCAGCUAACCUGGCAAAGUCCUGGGCCUCCGGUAGUGUUCCCAGUCUGAGGGCCUUCACUUCAGAGGCAAUCUGUCUUGGUACGUGACUUGCAUAAGCAAAAUUUUCAUUAACUAGAAUGUACAAAGUUUUCAUUCAUAUUCAUACAGGUUAAUUUCUUGUUGAUGUUUGUUUGUUAAAUGUCUUGCAUUUCUAAAGAGUACAUGUUUUAAUUUCUUGUAUCAUGUGAAUAUCUACAUACUUAUCUCCAAUUCAUAUUGGAGGAUAUAUAGGCUAACAUAUUGUUUUUUUCCAUAUACCAUAUAACUUUUCCUUAUAUGCAGGUCUAGGGAGAGCAAGCCUACAGAUCACAUCCCCUUUGAUUUUUUUGCUCUUUCUUUGUUCAUGAUAAUUUGAGCUUUAUGCCUAAUCAAUCAAAAUCAUAAAUAUGUUUUUUCGUUACACGUUAAUAUAUAGUAUAUGGUUUCAUGCCCAGCGAAAACAGCCGGCCCUAAAUUAGGACCUAUUGAUUACAGAUUGUUUUGGCCUGUUCCUCGUAGACAUGUGAAGAUUUUUUUUUACCAAUUAGCUGAUAGUCAAAUUGGAAAAAACCACAUGCAUUUUCUCUGAAAACUUGGUUAUUUGAACUUCGAAAACAUUUAUUAUUGAUCUGAUGUUGCAAAACGUGGUCGAUUAUCAGAGAACUAUGUCCAGCGUAGAUAUUAAAGCUCAUCUAGAAGCCAUGUGUGAGGCUUUAGCUGAUAUUUUUGCAAUGGAUGAAGGGGGAAAUUAAUGAAAAAUUAUUCUAUUUUGUUGUGAAAAACUACUUCUCAAUUAUAGUUUGUUCUAAUAACUAAUAGCAACAUAAGUCAUCAGGAAGCACAUCUAUAUUUUCCCUGUGUGUACACUUUUCUUUGUCGGUUUAUUUCAUGCGUUGCUAUAGUAGAAAGGAUUACGGAUUGGUCUUGGAGGAUAUCAUUCAGUUUUUAUGGUUCGUUAUUGUCAGGAAGAUUCAAGAGGUCAUGGUGUGGGGGCAACACUAAAGUGUAAUGUCAGGUCUUUGAUGGCAUCUACAGAUCAUCGUCUCAAGGAUUAUGGAUGAGUGGAGAGCCUGGGUGGCUUGCUGCGGUGGAAACCGGCGAUAGUAUCAUAGUAAUUCCUUUAGUGUUUUCUAUUCUGUUGUUGUCCCAAAGCAGGUGAGGGUUAAUUUUGUGGCCGUGCCCUUCAGGUCUAAUUAAUAUCUCCUCUUAAGCUUAGUGAAAUAACUCCAUUUAACUCCCUUUUGUUUCAUAUGAGCUAUUUCAUUGUGGCAUGUCCAUGUGUAACUUAAAUGUUUUGAUCACCUUGAAAGCAAAGAUGGAUUGAUUUGCUCAUUUUUAUGUAAAAUAGAAUUAUGUUUUUAAAUAAAAUCUCUUAAGUCCAUCAAAUUAAUACUAAUGGAGGCUGGAUCUUGGUGUUCUAAUUAAUAUUUUCUUUGUUCCAAUGUAUUCGGUCUAUCUUUAAUUGUCUAUAAAGAUAUGAUAUGAUAGCAAUGUUUUAGUGAUAAAAUAGCAUUAUCAUAAGACAGUUCGUACUGUCAUAUUUGGUGGCAUGGUAGGCAUGAAUUCGUUGCCGGCGCUUGUUUUGGAAGCUCGCUGAUACUUACCAGCUCUACGUGGUCAUUAACCAUCACUGGUGGUGCAAUCCGAUCACCCUCAUACUAUCAUACUGAAAUCAAGCAUGUUUUUUCUUCUCCCGUUGCAACGCACGGGCAAAU